rnacentral:rRNA from 1 species
AACGUAGGUGGCAAGCGUUAUCCGGAAUUACUGGGCGUAAAGGGUGUGCAGGCGGGGUUGCAAGUGGUGUAUGAAAUAUCCCAGCUUAACUGGGAGGGGUUAUGCCAGACUGCAACUCUAGAGGACGAGAGAGGGGGGUGGAAUUCCGGGUGUAGUGGUGAAAUGGCGUAGAGAUCCGGAGGAACCCCGAGGCGAAGGCGGCCCCUGGCUCGUACCUGACGCUCAGCCACGAAAGCAUGGGGAGCGAACGGG